UACGGGGGGAGCAAGCGUUGUUCGGAUUUACUGGGCGUAAAGGGCGCGUAGGCGGUCAGCACAAGUCAGUUGUGAAAUCUCCGGGCUUAACUCGGAAAGGUCAACUGAUACUGUGCGACUAGAGUGCAGAAGGGGCAACUGGAAUUCUCGGUGUAGCGGUGAAAUGCGUAGAUAUCGAGAGGAACACCUGCGGCGAAGGCGGGUUGCUGGGCUGACACUGACGCUGAACUGCGA
rnacentral:rRNA from 1 species